AAUCAACGCUGGCGGCGUGCCUAACACAUGCAAGUCGGACGCGAAAGCCCCGCAAGGGGCCGGUAGAGUGGCGCACGGGUGAGUAACACGUGGAUAACCUGCCUGGCAGAGGGGACUAAC
rnacentral:rRNA from 1 species